rnacentral:ncRNA from 2 species
CAGCAUCUCUCGGGGUGCGAUUGCGUGUUUUUGUUGCGCGAACGCUGAGAAGGUCUUCGACCUAACCCGCUGAACUUGAACUGGUUAGAACCAGCGUAGGGAAGAGAAUCAUUUAAUCG